rnacentral:rRNA from 1 species
GACGAACCGUGGCGAACGUUGUUCGGAAUUCACUUGGGCUUAAAGGGCGCGUAGGCGGGUGUGCAAGUCUGUGGUGAAAGCCUCAGCUUAACUGGAGAAGUGCCAUGGAUACUGCACAUCUGAGGAGGGUAGGGGCAUCUGGAACGGUCGGUGGAGCGGUGAAAUGCGUUGAUAUCGACCGGAACUCCGGUGGCGAAGGCGAGGUGCUGGACCCUUUCUGACGCUGAGGCGCGAAAGCCAGGGGAAGCAAACGGGG